rnacentral:rRNA from 1 species
GAUGAACGCUGGCGGCGUGCCUAAUACAUGCAAGUCGAGCGAACAGACGAGGAGCUUGCUCCUCUGACGUUAGCGGCGGACGGGUGAGUAACACGUGGAUAACCUACCUAUAAGACUGGGAUAACUUCGGGAAACCGGAGCUAAUACCGGAUAACAUGUUGAACCGCAUGGUUCAACAGUGAAAGACGGUCUUGCUGUCACUUAUAGAUGGAUCCGCGCCGCAUUAGCUAGUUGGUAAGGUAACGGCUUACCAAGGCAACGAUGCGUAGCCGACCUGAGAGGGUGAUCGGCCACACUGGAACUGAGACACGGUCCAGACUCCUACGGGAGGCAGCAGUAGGGAAUCUUCCGCAAUGGGCGAAAGCCUGACGGAGCAACGCCGCGUGAGUGAAGAAGGUCUUCGGAUCGUAAAACUCUGUUAUUAGGGAAGAACAAAUGUGUAAGUAACUACGCACGUCUUGACGGUACCUAAUCAGAAAGCCACGGCUAACUACGU